rnacentral:rRNA from 1 species
CCUACGGGUGUCAGCAGUGAGGAAUAUUGGUCAAUGGACGAGAGUCUGAACCAGCCAAGUAGCGUGAAGGAUGACUGCCCUAUGGGUUUUAAACUUCUUUUAUAUGGGAAUAAAACAGGGUAUGCAUACCCUCUUUUAUGUACCAUAUGAAUAAGGAUCGGCUAACUCCGUGCCAGCAGACGCGGUAAUACGGAGGAUCCGAGCGUUAUCCGGAUUUAUUGGGUUUAAAGGGAGCGUAGGUGGAUUGUUAAGUCAGUUGUGAAAGUUUGCGGAUCAACCGGAAAAUUGCAGGUGAAACUGGCAGGCGUGAGUACAGGAGAGGGGGGGGGAAAUCGUGGGGGAGCGGGGAAAUGCUUAGAUAUCACGAAGAACUCCGAUUGCGAAGGCAGCUCACUGGACUGCAACUGACACUGAUGCUCGAAAGUGUGGGUAGCAAACAGGAUUAGAUACCCUAGUAGUC